GAUGAACGCUGGCGGCGUGCCUAAUACAUGCAAGUCGAGCGAACAGAUGAGGAGCUUGCUCCUCUGACGUUAGCGGCGGACGGGUGAGUAACACGUGGAUAACCUACCUAUAAGACUGGGAUAACUUCGGGAAACCGGAGCUAAUACCGGAUAAUAUAUUGAACCGCAUGGUUCAAUAGUGAAAGACGGUUUUGCUGUCACUUAUAGAUGGAUCCGCGCCGCAUUAGCUAGUUGGUAAGGUAACGGCUCACCAAGGCAACGAUGCGUAGCCGACCUGAGAGGGUGAUCGGCCACACUGGAACUGAGACACGGUCCAGACUCCUACGGGAGGCAGCAGUAGGGAAUCUUCCGCAAUGGGCGAAAGCCUGACGGAGCAACGCCGCGUGAGUGAUGAAGGUCUUCGGAUCGUAAAACUCUGUUAUUAGGGAAGAACAAAUGUGUAAGUAACUAUGCACGUCUUGACGGUACCUAAUCAGAAAGCCACGGCUAACUACGUG
rnacentral:rRNA from 1 species